CUCUUCACUUGUUUCGAUUUUCGUUGCCUCAGCUCAAUGUUCCUCUCCGAUUGAAAUCGAUAAUUCAUGUUCCUCUUCUCUUUGCGUUAUGAUGUUGUCUCCUAGUCCCUGAGAAAGUUGAGCUGCUGGUAAGGAAAGCUCCAUCUGUCCCUAUUUUUGGUGAAGAUUUUUGGGAGCUGGGGAAUCUAGCUAGUAUCAACACGAUAGAGUAGUUGUCUUUAUGACAAAAACAAUUAUUUCUGUGUCCUUGUUUACUUCUUAUAUACUUGUAAUAUUUCGGGACCACCUGCUUUUCGUUGAACUCUGUGAAUGUCUUUUAUUUGUAUGCAUGUUGUUGUUAUGUUUGAA